CCGGCACGGGUGAGUAACACGUAUCCAACCUGCCGUCUACUCUUGGCCAGCCUUCUGAAAGGAAGAUUAAUCCAGGAUGGCAUCAUGAGUUCACAUGUCCGCAUGAUUAAAGGUAUUUUCCGGUAGACGAUGGGGAUGCGUUCCAUUAGAUAGUAGGCGGGGUAACGGCCCACCAAGACUACGAUGGAUAGGGGUUCUGAGAGGAAGGUCCCCCACAUUGGAACUGAGACACGGUCCAA
rnacentral:rRNA from 1 species